rnacentral:lncRNA from 1 species
CCACAGCUGAAGGUCAGUCCCCAAAGCUGGUUAUGGUUGAAAGGGAGGAAAAGCUGCUCCCACGUGGCUCUGGCUGAGGCUUCCGAGACUCUGCAGGUGGGGGCCGUCUGUCUUCCCCAGGUGGGAGCUACUUCUUUUUAGAAGCAGGCUCCACGGCGGUUUUCAGGUGUGGCCUUGCCCAGCGUCCCGAUGUUUUGCUUCCUGCCUGGCCUCGGCGCUCUUUGAUGACCUCCUCUUGCCACACACUGUGGUCUCCAUAGGCUGCCCACUGCUGAUCCGAGGCUGGUGGCCCCCAGCACACGUGGGUUUCUGAGGAACACGCUGAGACUCUCGGGCCAUGCCGUGACACAGGGGAGACAGCGUCUGCUCUUUUUCCAUUUUUGUUCGUUUUCAGUGCUCUGACCCUCAGGAAGCCCACUUAAGCAUCCCAGAAUCCAGACGGCCGUGAACAAAGCUGCUGUGGUUUGGGGCUGCAAAACUGGCCCACAGCCCACCUGGAUAACUGAAUCGAACAUGCCUCAGCCGCCCUCACCACAGGCACCAUCCCCCUCACAGAAGUUUGAUGUCUGAUCAUUCAGCACUGGCUGAGCCUCAGAGCUAAAAUGGAAAAUGCAUUUUAUGAGCAGAUAACACAUUUUUGGAAUGGCUACUUUAAACAUUGUGGAUACAGAUUCACAGAGACUAUUUUUAGAUGAAUUAUUUCUUCUAUUUACCAUACUGAUUUGCUGGAAGAAAGAAAAACAAUAUUUUAAAAAGGGAAAACAUUCUUUAAAAGCAGUGACUCUAAAUUUCCCCUGAAGAGCAAAAUGCUGUCUGUGUCUCACUCAAUGUGGUGGCUGCUACAGGAGGAUCUUCCCAGGCCUUCUCAGGGAAUUCCCAUCAGGAUCACAGGAAUGGUACCUGGCAGACACAACCCAGUCUGCACCUUCCAUGGGCCACAGCUGAUGGUACGAGGAGAGGUGUGACAUCUGCCUGACCUCAGCUCUGGGGGUUCCUGUGGGUGGACAGAAGGAGCCCUGGAGGCCCGGCCAGGAUGCGUCAUCUGUGGCUACCACGUGGAUUCUCUGGUGUGCUGAGUCAAGGCAGCGAUCUUCCAAGUGUGGUCGCUGUACCUCCAUCAGCACCUCCUGGGACUUGUCAGGACGCUGACCCGGGCCCCAGCCAAGUUCUGCUGCUGCCUCAGGGGGACAGAGGCAGGGCCUCACUGUCUGAUGAUCCAGCCCUGCAGGGGGCCCGCUGCACCUGCAGGUGUGAGAGCCGCCGCUGAAUUAAGGUGACUGGAAGGUUUCAGGGCAUGGGAGGGAGGUAGAUCAUUUGGGGCUGAGAAGCACUUUUGCAUCUCUUUCCUGCCCAGAAGCGACCAGAGAGGCCAGGCAUUGUCACCUGGAGACUUUGGAAAUGAAGCCCUGAGCUGAUCUAAUAAUUUCUGGCAAAUUCUAUGGGGUUGCUUCAUGAAUUAGGAAAAGCCAUAGAAACUCAAGUGUAAAUCGUGUGUUAUAUCCCAGGGCCGCGCGCUUAAUGUGGACUGUGGAGCUUGUACGCAGCCUGUCACACCCUGCCAGCCUCAAUACGGCUCUCCUUACCCCGGGCCUCUGCACGCACAUAUGAAAGGCAACCUCACCUCUGUGGCUUGCAUGGUUCAGCGAUUCAUACUGUGGAGAGACUCGGGAGAGACUCAGAAGAGAGGUGUUUUCCGGCAAUAGCAGAGCAUAGGAACCUCUUGAUAGACCACUGAGAUGAGUCAGCAUCGGCAGCCUGCACAGGGUGGUGGGGUGGGCUGGGGCCUCAGUGAGUGGGGUGCAGACAGGGGCUUCUCUCCACCUGCCAAGAUUCCACUCAAAUGCUGCGUCUCCCUGAAGCCCCUCCCAUCUUCACAGACCUUCAUUUAACACUUACUGAAGGGUAGAUGGUUGUAUAGCUCACUGAGGUGUCUGACUCCCUGACCAGACUGUGGGACUCUUCAGAAUGAAACAGACUUUUCCUUCUUUAUUUUCCCCGUUUCUAACUUAGUCAUGCACAGAAUAAACGCUUGGUAAGACUCUACUGAAUGAUGAUACUUCUCCAGGACGAAGGUGCCUGUGAAGAAUGGGAAGGCCUGGUGCCGUAGUGUCUUAGAUUCUGAUAUGCCACAUGUCCUGCUUAUCACCCUGAAGUCUCAAAAGAUAAUCAACUUGUUAAACACUGUGCUUUGUACCUACUUCAUUUUUUAAAGAGCUUUUAUUUUGACUGUUGGACAUCACGGUUAUUCUUCCUGAACUCAGCCCUGAUAGUGCAGUGCCCCAGUACAAGUCCCUGGCACAUUGGCCUGGAGUUUAAGGCUCUGCAUACCCCACCCGGGCAUCCUGCUUCCCCUGCACAAUCGCUUUGCUGGAUCAGUGCUAGCUGGGUCUGUCUCUCCAGCGCUUUAGAAGCCGCCCUCCUGCUGUGUCUUCGCUCAUUCUGUUCCCUUCUCCCGGUCCCCCACUGUUUGCUGCUUUGCUUUUUAUUUCUCAAGGCUCAGUUCAAAAGCCACCAUUUCCACCAAGACGUGGUGACCUCAACUGGAUUGGAGACAACGCCUCUCCCCAGCUCCUCUGGAAUAUGGUUCUGUCCUCUGAGCCUGGUAUCGGCGUCGAUGCUGUCUACAUGCGCUGCUGGCUGGUCGCCUACUGGAUGUGUCUGCCCGCUGGGGGAAGGAACCAGGCCCUGGAAUGGGAUCCUGAGUAGGAGCACAGUCUGGAUAUUCCUGCAGGAGUGAAGAGACAUUCUCAGGGCGGAUGUUGCCAGGACAAAGAAACACAAGCAACAACAAGAACAAAACUGGAGGUGAGAGCUGUGAUGGUGUUGAGAGUGGCUCCUCGUGCUUUUGAGCACCUUUAGCUUUCUGGAAUGUUCCACAUGGGGUGUGAGCCAUGAUGGUGUUGAGAGUGGCUCCUCGUGCUUCCAUGCACCUUUAGCUUUCCGGAAUGGUCCGUUGGGGGUGCGAGUCAUGAUGGUGUUGAGAGUGGCUCCUCAUGCUUCCAUGCAACUUUAGCUUUCUGGAGUGUUCCACGGGGUGCAGAGUGUGUCUUCAAACGUGGACACAGGUGUGCAGGGGUCUCCUUUUGAUGCGUAAGGAAUAAGGAGACACGGGGUGCUGAGGUGUCCUCUCAGGCCCAGAAGUUAGGCUUCCUAACACCGUGGACCAGGUUUAACCACACAUGUGUUUUCCUCACAGUGCUGGAGGCUGGAGGUCCAAGGUCAAGGCUUGGGCAGGUUGGCUUCUCUGGGGCCUCUCUCCUUGGCUUGCAGACAGUACCUCCUCGUGGUGUCCAUGUGGGUGCCCCUCUGUGCACAUGGACACAGGGUGUCUCUGUGCGUCCUAAUAUAUCCUCUUCUUCUAAGGACGCCCCUGACAUGGAUUCGGCACCCUCAUGGCCUUGUUUUAACUUAAUCAACUCUGCAACGACCCUGUCUCCAAUUUUUCAAAGAGCUAAAAGUGGAAAUACCAUUUCACUCAGGAAUCCCAUGACUCAAAGGAAAAUAAAUACUUCUAUCAAAAAGACACAUACACUCACAUGUUUAUCAUGGCACUAUUCACAACA